GGGCCUCCAGCCAGCACCCGCCCCUGCCUGGGAGCCGUCGGGGCAGACGCGCAGGCCAGAGAGGCCGGCGUGGGUGCUCCAGCGCAUGGGCCUGCAGGCAGGGUACCGAGAAGGAAGUCUAUGGACGCAGGUCUCGAUUGAGCGCCUGUGGCGUGUCCAGCUCUGCCUCGGGAGGCCGGGGUGAAGGUGAGGGCCAGGGUCCAGCUCUGUGAUGACGCAGCUAGUGCUGACGGAGGGACAGAUGCUCCGGGGACUCGUGUCCUUGAAGAGGCGCCUGGAGGAUAAGAAAGGUCUGUCUCGGCGCCUGCGUGUUGGCUGUGGAACUCGAGGGGAUGCCCUGCGCUUCCAGGCUGAGACAUCAUUUCUUCUGCCCUUGGUUGCUGGGGGAAUUGACUGACCAAGUCAUUCCCCGUGGAACGCCCUCCUGGGGUGUCCGCCUUGGACUUCAGGCAAGCUCCUCCAAAUUCAGGCCCCCACGAGGGCGAGAGCAGUCACGGGGCUCAUCUGCCCAGGCUCCUGGGCACCGUGGGGAGAAUCAGGAACAGAGGAGACUAGGGAGAGAUGCCCCAAGGGUGUAAAAUCUCAGGACAAGGACUGAGGGGGGCUUCAGAGGUCAACAGACCCCAAGGGCAGAAGCAGCUUUGGAAACCAUCAGAUGUGAUCCCGAGCGCCCAGGAGGGCUCGUGCUGGCUGGAUGCCUCUUGGAGAGCAAAUCGGAGGGAGAACGGGAUGGAGCAGUGCCCUCCAAGUCCAGCGCCUGGCCCCACCCUCAGUGGAGGAGGGGCUGUAGCUCCAGGUCCCCUACCCCUCGGUCCCCUACCCCUUGGUCCCCUGAGAACAGGUGCUUGGGUCUCCCUCCGAGGGUCAGCUGCACCAUGAGCAGUGAGGCACACCCCCUCACUUACUAAACUGGAUCGGCCAUUCAAUCACGCAA